CUUUCCUCUUACGGGGAAAAUUUCGGUUGCAGCUCUCACUCUGCAGCUUUCCUGGUUUAUUUUGUCAUUCAUUUCAUUUAAACAGACAACAACGGGGCUCUGUCCUCACAGCCUUUCCUGGUGUUGCCUCUGUUAGAAACAAUGUUUGGCUUUUCAGCUACUUGGUAGAGAGAAAAUGCUCACUGCUUUUCUUUGGAACUCUUUCUAGGAGACAGGUUUGGCUCUGUGAUUCAUCAGAAAUAAGAAAAACAAACACUGUAAAUGGAGAACUUGAAAAACAGGCUUCAGAAUAAAUAUAUUAACCAGCUUCAGUCAACGUCUGCCUAGAAUCUGACCUUGACAAGACCCAGUGACUAGUGCUGCUCCCAGCCUUUCCCGCAAACAGCAGGCGAUUUUCUCUGUGGCAAAGCUACCUCAAAACAGGCAUCCCGGCUUCCCUCCCACGAAGUGAAGGUAAGCAGAGGCCUAUCAUGUUUCCUCUGAGUGCUGGCUGCAGGACGCCCCCACCCGCCUCCCGCCUCGCGAAAGCCCGAGGGCAGUCUGGAGACACCAGCUUGUUUUUACAUGGUAGAGUCAUCCAUAGCUAGAUACAAACACACAUCUAUUACCCACCAGGGGUACUGAAUUGCUGUGUUGGCUGCAGAAACAGUCCAGGUCUGUGGGCAAUUCCCAUUAUGUGUAGACACAAGCGGAAGCAU
rnacentral:lncRNA from 1 species